CCAUUCUCUCACAUUCAUCAGUGCACUCAGAAAUUACUGAGAGCAACACACGCACACAGACACACAGAACAUCCCCACACAGCCGCUUCUCCUAAGGAAAUGGCAUCAAAAAGCUGCAGAUGAUUCUCAGAAAACCUCCAAGAGCCACAUUACUGCUCUCCUGACCCUUCUCUCACAUUCGUCUGCGCACUCAGAAAUUACUGAGAGCAACACACGCACACAGACACACAGAACAUCCCCACACAGCCGCUUCUCCUAAGGAAAUGGCAUCAAAAAGCUGCAGGCACAUCUAUGGUCUCUGCCCUGAGUGGAUCCCCUGGUGCUUGCUCAGCUGGGAGCUGUGGUUGAAGCUCUUCCCACACAUGGGACGUUUGUAGCACUUCUGCCACGACUGCCAUCUCCUGCGAGGGAGGAGCUUCGUGCUCUGCACAAAGCCCUUCUCACACUCGAGGCAUUUCUAAGGCUUCCUGCCACGUGAACUCACUGGUGCAGGCAUGUCCUGGACUUCACCCAACUGCAGACACUCUGCUACCUCAGCAG
ensembl:lncRNA